rnacentral:pre_miRNA from 1 species
UCUCAAACUAUGGGGGCACUUUUUUUUUCUUUAAAAAGUGCCGCCAGGUUUUAGGGCC